rnacentral:lncRNA from 1 species
AUUACAAAUUAAAUGGCUUCCCUAAUUUUCCACUGACUCAUAACAGUUAUUUGAAUUUGCGUAGUUAACUAUACCUGCAUUAUAAAUGACAUAGCUCAUAGUGAUAACUCCCCUUUUAAACUUGUUUCAGUCAUUUUUUUAUUGCUCUGACCAAAAGACCAAUAAAGAACUACAUAGAGGAGGCAAGGUAUAUUUGGGGCUCAUGGUUUUAUAGGUCUCAGUCCAUAGACAGCCGACUCUGUUGCUUUGGGCCCCAGGUAAGGCAGACCAUCAUGGCAGAAAACUGUGGAGGAAGAAAGCAGCUCAGAACAUGGAACCAGGCAGCAGAGAGAGACAGAGAGAGACAGAGACAGAGACAGAGAGACGGGGAGGAACAGAGACAGAGAUGAGACAGAAAGAGAUAAAGAGAAUGAGCUCCCCUCAUCAUAGACAAAAUAUAAACCCCAAAGGCCCGCCCUCAAUGACCCACCUCCUCCAGCCACAACCUACCUGCCUACAGUUACCUCCCAGUUAAUCCCCAUCAAGACAUUGAUGCACUGAUUAGGUUAAGGCUUUCAUAACUCAAUCAUUUCAUUCUAAACUUUCUUGCAUUGUCUCACACAUGAGCUUUUGGGGUCACCUAGUAUCUAAACUAUAACAGAACCCUUAUUAUAUUCUGACAUUGUAUAUUUUUUGUUCUGUUUUUGUUUGUUUGUUUUUCUAUUAGGAAUCUCAUUUUACAGUCAAGUAAUCUGAGUUUGAGAUCGGGUUAGUUCCCUACCAGCCAGUUCACAACUCUGGUCUUCCUGACUGUAAAGGCUUAGCCAGAUUAUUGUGCAGCUGGAGCAGGCACACUUUACCUUAAAAAAAAAAAUAGGCUGAUUUAAAGCUCCAGAUAAUUUUACCCCUAAAGAACUUUGAUCCAUGGAGUAACUUCAGGGAAGCUGUAUGAGGGAGUGGUCUUGCAUUCCAUCGUAUUCUUUACUCUCCCUUCAGUACUUCCCAGGAGGAGUGCUCCAGGUAAAUUCACACUGCAGCCUGUCUUACAAAUCAAGGGCACAUUUUUGGAAAUGAAAACAUGACCAUGAAAAAUGCUGCCCCCAGGUUUCUUAGGGAAGGAGCAACUGAAGUUGAGGGGAAGGCUCUAGUUUCUUACUGUGACCCUAUAUUUGUCACCUUGUCUUGCUUGCCUUUCUCUGUUUGAGCCCCUGAAGCAUUGAAAAGGGAACCAAAUUCUAGCUCUGUGGAUCCCAU